rnacentral:rRNA from 1 species
AACGUAGGAGACGAGCGUUAUCCGGAGUUACUGGGCGUAAAGGGCGUGCAGGCGGUUAGUUAAGUCAGAUGUGAAAGCUCCCGGCUAAACCGGGAGAGGUCGUCUGAUACUGGCUAACUCGAGGACGGUAGAGGCGUGUGGAAUUCCGGGUGUAGUGGUGAAAUGCGUAGAUAUCCGGAGGAACACCAGAGGCGAAGGCGACACGCUGGGCCGUACCUGACGCUAAGACGCGAGAGCAUGGGGAGCAAAC